rnacentral:rRNA from 1 species
GGGCCCGCACAAGCGGUGGAGUAUGUGGUUUAAUUCGAUGCAACGCGAAGAACCUUACCAGGGUUUGACAUCCUGCGAAUCUCUUGGAAACAGGAGAGUGCCUUCGGGAACGCAGUGACAGGUGGUGCAUGGCUGUCGUCAGCUCGUGUCGUGAGAUGUUGGGUUAAGUCCCGCAACGAGCGCAACCCACGUCUUUAGUUGCCAGCACGUUAUGGUGGGAACUCACAGGAGACUGCCCGUGGAAAGCGGGAGGAAGGUGGGGAUGACGUCAAGUCAUCAUGCCCCUUACGUCCUGGGCUACACACAUGCUACAAUGGAUGGUACAAAGGGUCGCGAAACCGCGAGGUGGAGCCAAUCUCAAAAAACCAUCCUCAGUUCGGAUUGUAGUCUGCAACUCGACUACAUGAAGUCGGAAUUGCUAGUAAACGU